CAGCAGCCACGGUAAUACGUAGGUGGCAAGCGUUGUCCGGAAUUAUUGGGCGUAAAGCGCGCGCAGGCGGAUCGGUCAGUCUGUCUUAAAAGUUCGGGGCUUAACCCCGUGACGGGAUGGAAACUGCCAAUCUAGAGUAUCGGAGAGGAAAGUGGAAUUCCUAGUGUAGCGGUGAAAUGCGUAGAUAUUAGGAAGAACACCAGUGGCGAAGGCGACUUUCUGGACGAAAACUGACGCUGAGGCGCGAAAGCCAGGGGAGCGAACGGGAUUAGAUACCCCUGUAGUCCCUGUCUCUUAUACC
rnacentral:rRNA from 1 species